rnacentral:rRNA from 1 species
GGGAUAACAUUCUGAAAAGAAUGCUAAUACCGCAUGACAUAUCGGAACCACAUGGUUCUGAUAUCAAAGAUUUUAUCGCUUGAAGAUGGACUCGCGUCCGAUUAGUUAGUUGGUGAGGUAACGGCUCACCAAGACCGCGAUCGGUAGCCGGACUGAGAGGUUGAACGGCCACAUUGGGACUGAGACACGGCCCAGACUCCUACGGGAGGCAGCAGUGGGGGAUAUUGCGCAAUGGGGGCAACCCUGACGCAGCAACGCCGCGUGAAGGAUGAAGGUUUUCGGAUUGUAAACUUCUUUUAUUAAGGACGAAAAAUGACGGUACUUAAUGAAUAAGCUCCGGCUAACUACGUGCCAGCAGCCGCGGUAAUACGUAGGGAGCAAGCGUUGUCCGGAUUUACUGGGUGUAAAGGGUGCGUAGGCGGCUUUGCAAGUCAGAUGUGAAAUCUAUGGGCUCAACCCAUAAACUGCAUUUGAAACUGUAGAGCUUGAGUGAAGUAGAGGCAGGCGGAAUUCCCCGUGUAGCGGUGAAAUGCGUAGAGAUGGGGAGGAACACCAGUGGCGAAGGCGGCCUGCUGGGCUUUAACUGACGCUGAGGCACGAAAGCGUGGGUAGCAAACAGGAUUAGAUACCCUGGUAGUCCACGCUGUA